rnacentral:lncRNA from 1 species
AUGGGGGAAAAUGAAAAAAAAAAAUCAAAUAUAUAUAUUUUUUAUGUUGGAGGCAUUUCUGCUGCUCCUUGGCAGGAAGGAAAGAAGGAGAAUGUUAACGGGUAUUCUUUCUUCCAAAGUGCACCGCGUAUAGGAAGGACGCGAGCAUCAAUAUUUCAUCCUUGCUUCGCCUGCCAGCAUCCCGCUCCCUCCUCCCUGCUUCUCACCGGCUCUAGGACCCGGAGAGCUGGGCCACACUGGCCUGACCCAGGGCGUCAUCACAGAUGUCCACGCUGCCUUCAGCUUGCCCGCCGUGCCAUCGUGGACUCCAGAGUCUGCGCAAGAAGCCGCCCUUCUGAGUCCGAGAGUCAAUCUGAGGAGUGUUGAAACCCUGCCCCUUCCUGUAUCCCUGUGGUAGGACCUAUCCUUAGACAAAAUCAUCAUGUAGGUAAGUUUGUCUCUCAGUUUCCUGCCCAUCUCCCCCCAUUCACACCUCUCUUCUCUCUCUCCUCAAUGCCCAUCUCCACCCUUGUUCUCUCCAGGCUUCGGGACAACUCUCAGGCACUCAUUCAGGACCUGUGGCUGCUCGACCCCUUCCUUCCAAAGAAUCAACUAACAUAAUAAAUGCAUACUGCACGCCGUGCCGAACA